rnacentral:lncRNA from 1 species
UAAAAAAUGAUGAGUUCAUGUCCUUUGUAGGGACAUGCAUGAAGCUGGUAACCAUCAUUCUCAGCAAACUAUCGCAAGAAUAAAAAAACAAACACCGCAUAUUCUCACUCAUAGGUGGGAAUUGAACAAUGAGAACACAUGGACACAGGAAGGGGAACAUCACACACCUGGGCCUAUUUUGGUGUGGGGGGAGGGGGGAAGGAUAGCAUUAGGAGAUAUACCUAAGGUUAAAUGAGGAGUUAAUGGGUGCAGCGCACCAACAUGGCACAUGUAUACAUAUGUAACUAACCUGCACAUUGUGCACAUGUACCCUAGAACUUAAAGUAUAAUAAUAAUAAAUAAAUAUAUAUAUAUACACUCAGAUCUUUCUAGGCAGUGGGCAAGGUGAACCCAUUGGGUGGUUACAAUCAAGCAUAAAAAGAAUUAAUUACAUGGAACUAAAUGAACUCAUAAGGAAUAUUAUAAUUUUUAAAUUACUUUUUUGAUUGAGAUAUUGCUGGUUCUUUAAUAUUUUGUUUUUCAAAUUAAAGAAAACUUCUUCUCUUUUUCUCUCAAGCUGUCUAUACCUUACAACAAUCUGGGAAACUAUAAAGAAAAAUAAAAUAUUUAUUUGUUUUCUCUGCCUGAUCUCUCUAGAUUUGGAAACUAUUGUUGAUUAUUCUUAUUUUCAAGGCAAUAUAAAUAUAUGAAUAAGUUCAAUAAGAAUAUGUACUUUUUAUAACAGAAAAUAACUAGAAACAUUGGUUAUAUUGCUAAGCCUUUGACUGGAAGGUCAUAUUUGAAAAUAAUAUGUAUAGAAUCAGAUAUGACUAGAAAGUUUUAAGGAACUAAAUUUGAUUUCAUGGGGCCAAUGAUUACAAAGACCCUUCGAAACUGGCCUUGGACCUGGCUUACAGAAUUCUCAGCCUUACAUGUGAAUAAGGAAGGUCACUUCCCGGCAGGCUCAGGAACCUCCAAAUACAUUGAGUAUCUUGGGAAGAGUGGAUUUCACCCAAAUCUAUAGGUGCCACAGGCAAAGACUGAUGGCAAGUCCAUUGGCUUGGUAUCCUAGCCUCCAGGCGCUUUUAAAAGUCUAAUCUGAGAUUCCUUAUCAUAAGUUCCAGGGAAGCAAAUUCAAAAAAGGACCUAUGUGGUCAAGUACAUUCUUGCUGCACUAAUGUAAAUAAUGAGGAAAAGUUUAAUGGGGUUGGACUUAUUUUGCUAUCAAAUUAGUCUUACUUUGAUAGAAUUGGAAGUAACUAUAGAGAAUAAAAUUAUUCCAAUAUUAUUUCAAACAUAGAAUCUAAUCCUGUUCUCUGUCUUUGAAACUUUGUUAUGUCUCUGUAAAGUAGACUAGAUCAUGCUCAAUUCUAGCAUCCUCCAAUACCUGAUUAUAACUCUUCAAAUUAAUGUUUCCAGUUUUUCUCUCACCCUCUUAAGUUGUUACCACUGAGGGUUAAAACCUUACUGCUCAGGUUCUUGUUAGGAAUAUCUAAAGAAGCCCUGGACAUUGAGACUGGAAACUUCCAUACUAUGCUCUGAGAAGUAACCGUAACUCUUUCAUCACCAGAGGCAUUCAGACUACAAGCCAGGAAAUUUAUUGAAUGGCUACUUCCAUUCUCAUGCCAUCAUCUAAAGACACUUUGAGCCAAAUGUCCUGAAAUCCUGAGUGACUGCCUUCUGGAAUCAAAAACAGAAUUUACAGUUUGUUCUAACCAGUUAUCUUUUUCAUCUUUGUUUUUUUUUUUUUUUUUCACAGAAAUGUGCCUUACUAAAUGCUUGAUUGUUCAUACCAUCUAGAGGAGUUCGGGGAGGGGAGCUCCCUAUUUCUACCUUUAUGGUGUCUCCCGAAAUGAGAUACAAUUAUUUAACUGAACUAUCCUCUUCCUAGGACUGACAGACUAUUUCAAUGGGAUAUGGGACAAUCUACCAACUCAGUUUUUGGACUGUAAAACUUCCUGGGGGAAGUUUCAGUUGGGGUAAUAAUAGGUUCAGUACACAAUACCCCCAAAUAUGGCACCUUGGCAUGCUGAAUACAUAUAUAUUUUUGAUACAGGAUCUUGCUCAGUCACCCAGGCUGGAGUGCAGUACAGCAAUCUUGGCUCACUGCAAUCUCCACCUCCCAGGCUCACGUGAUCCUCCCACCUCAGUCUCCUGAGUAGCUAGGACUACAGGUGAAUGCCAGCAUGCUCUGGUAAUUUUUGCAUUUUUUUGUAGAAACGAGGUCUCACCAUGUUGUCCAGGCUGGACUUGAACUCCUGGGCUCAAGCAAUCCACCUACCUCAGCCUCCCAAAGUGCUGGCAUUACAGGUUGUGAGCCUCUGUGCCCAGCCAGCAUACUGAAUAUUAUAACCUCAAGAGAAACCACUAGUGCAGGAAAAUACCUCUGACAGUCCCCUGAAGCAGAACAUAAGACCAUCAUGUAAGAAGUACUCUCCAAAUACCCAGAGGAAAGGAGCAUUCUUAUCUCUGAGGAUGAAGGAACACAGAGAAAUCUGAAUGAACAGAACUUGCCAACAUUUCUCCAGUCUACUGCUUUUAACUCAUACCCCUUUGUCCUAUCACAUUUUUCCAUGGUUUUCCAUAAUAAUAUGCUUAUUAGGCAAUAUAAUAAUAGGCAAUAUAAUAGGCUUUCCAGGCUAGUAAUAGGCAAUAUAAUAGGCUUUCCAAGCCUAUUGUAAAAGCACUGAAGUUUAAUCACUUUGGGGGUCUUUAUUUCCUUAGGAAGCCUAUGUUAUACAAAACUUAUAUUAAAUAAAAGCAAAAAUUUCUAUUCUUUAUUCUUGUUAAUCUGUUUUUGGUUACAGAGCCCAAGCUGAGAAUCUAUAAGAGCAGGAACAAAAUACUUUUCUUCCCGAGGAGGCGGAGCUCAGGCAGUAAUGCUCGCUCACCUGCUGCUCAACAUCUGCGGCUCAACUUCUGCUGUAUGGCCCUGCUCCUAACAGGCCACAGACCGCUACGGAGGAAUCCUGCUCUACAACACUGGUUACUGUUUGCUUGCCCAGAUUCCACUUCAAGAUUCACAUGUCCUUGUUGCCUUGCAUUUAUUUGCUCCUUUAGCUUAUCUGCUUUGACUUUUUUUUUUUUUUUUCUUUUUUGAGACGGAGUCUCGCUCUGUCGCCCAGGCUGGAGUGCAGUGGCGGGAUCUCGGCUCACUGCAAGCUCCGCCUCCCGGGUUCACGCCAUUCUCCUGCCUCAGCCUCCCAAGUAGCUGGGACUACAGGCGCCCGCCACUACGCCCGGCUAAAUUUUGUAUUUUUAGUAGAGACGGGGUUUCACCGUUUUAGCCGGGAUGGUCUCGAUCUCCUGACCUCGUGAUCCGCCCGCCUCGGCCUCCCAAAGUGCUGGGAUUACAGGCGUGAGCCACCGCGCCCGGCCGACUUCAGUUCUAAUAUAUGUCCAUCCUGCUUUUCCUUACCUUGUUUUUCAGUUGUGGCACCUGUAUUCUUUUAAAUCCCUGAUGGAGGCAAUGUGACAAAGCAGAAAGUCAGGCAGACGAGGAUUCUAAAUGUAGCUCUGGACUACGUAUGUGACAUUUUAAUUAUUAAAACUCCCUGAUGCUCAAUUUCUUCAUCUGGUAAUCAGUAUGAUGCUGCCUUUGCAUGAUUAUUGAUAGACUUACAUCUGAUAAUCUUUGUAAAUGGCCAGCAAACACCUAAAAAAUAGUAGGGAAUACUGCCUUUUUUUUUUUUUUUUUUUUUUUUUAACCAUCCCCUUUUUUCUUUCUUCUCAAUUUGUUUUCAAUAGACUGUAAGUUCAUGAAGACAGGGCCAAUGCCUGCCUUGUUCUUUCUUGUAACAACCACAGAACAUAGAAUAGUGGCACGGUUCAGCUCCACUUAAAGACAUAGUACCUGUCUGAAGGAAAGAAAGGAAUAAAAAAAGAAUCAAUCAAUGAAUCAUUCAUCUUCUGACUUAAAUCCAAUUUCAACUACUGCUUCUACAUCUCACAGCAGAUCUGUGUGCCUGAAUUCCAUUUUUCAUUUUUGUCUUUUUCUUUAUUUUUAUUCUUAUUUUUAUUUUAUUAUUAUUAUACUUUAAGUUUUAGGGUACAUGUGUACAAUGUGCAGGUUAGUUACAUAUGUAUACAUGUGCCAUGCUGGUGUACUGCACCCAUUAACUCGUCAUUUAGCAUUAGGUAUAUCUCCUAAAGCUAUCCCUCCCUCCACCCCCCACCCUACAACAGUCCCGAGAGUGUGAUGUUCUCCUUCCUGUGUCCAUGUGUUCUCAUUGUUCAAUUCCCACCUAUGAAUGAGAAUAUGCAGUGUUUGGUUUUUUGUUCUUGUGAUAGUUUACUGAGAAUGAUGAUUUCCAAUUUCAUCCAUGUCCCUACAAAGGACAUGAACUCAUCAUUUUUUAUGGUUGCAUAGUAUUCCACGGUGUAUAUGUGCCACAUUUUCUUAAUCCAGUCUAUCAUUGUUGGAUAUUUGGUUGGUUCCAAGUCUUUGCUAUUGUGCAUAGUGCCACAAUAAACAUAUGUGUGCAUGUGUCUUUACAGCAGCAUGAUUUAUAGUCCUUUGGGUAUAUACCCAGUAAUGGGAUGCCUGGGUCAAUUGGUAUUUCUAGUUCUAGAUCCCUGAGGAAUCGCCACACUGACUUCCACGAUGGUUGAACUAGUUUACAG